rnacentral:rRNA from 1 species
AGGUCACUGCUAUUGGGAUUCGGCUAAGCCAUGCAAGCGGAGGGCGCGGUCGAAAGAUCGUGGCCCCGCACACUGCUCAGUAACACGUAGUCAACCUACCCUUGGGACGGGGACAACCUCGGGAAACUGAGGCUAAUCCCCGAUAGGUGAGGGACGCUGGAAUGCCUCCUCGCCCAAAGCUCCGGCGCCCAAGGAUGGGACUGCGGUCUAUCAGGCUGUUGGUGGUGUAACGGACCACCAAACCUACGACGGGUACGGGCGAUGGGAGUCGGAGCCCGGAGAUGGGGACUGAGACAAGGCCCCAGGCCCUACGGGGCGCAGCAGGCGCGAAAACUCCGCAAUGCGCGCAAGCGUGACGGGGGAAUCCCAAGUGCCGUUGGUCUUAUGAUCGACGGUUUUUAGGAAGUCUAAGAAGCUUCCAGAAUAAGGGCUGGGCAAGACUGGUGCCAGCCGCCGCGGUAACACCAGCAGCCCAAGUGGUGACCACGAUUAUUGGGCCUAAAGCGCUCGUAGCCGGAUCAGCAAGUCCCUUGUGAAAUCGGGCCGCCUAACGGUUCGGCGUGCAAGGGAUACUGUUGGUCUUGAGGCCGGGAGAGGUCGGAGGUACUCCUGGGGUAGCGGUGAAAUGCUCUAAUCCUAGGGGGACCACCAGUGGCGAAGGCGUCCGACCAGAACGGACCUGACGGUGAGGGGCGAAGGCUAGGGGAGCGAACGGGAUUAGAUACCCCGGUAGUCCUAGCUGUAAAGCAUGCGGGCCAGGUGUCUAGCGCUCCUUGAGGGCGCUAGGUGCCGGAGGGAAGCCGUUAAGCCCGCCGCCUGGGAAGUACGGCCGCAAGGCUGAAACUUAAAGAAAUUGGCGGGGGAGCACAGCAACGGGUGG